CUUUUGAAAAGAAAAAUGAUCUAAAUACUUGUAUAUUAUUGUCAAUUGCUCAUUGCUGUUUAUUUUUUGGCAUCUGUACUUGUUUUCCUCCUUACAAAUUAGGCUCAGUGCCUCAAAGCUAUGAUGCAAUCAGUGUAAUGUUGGUGAUUCUUCAAUCCCAGUGCUUCCUGCCUCUUGUAGCAGGUUCCAAACCCACAAAAAUCCUUGAUAAAUCAUGGUAUGACGUUGCUAAUAGUUAGCAUGUGUGAGGGCUCUGGCCUGAGAUCUGGUCUCCGUGCUCUCCCUCUCACUCAGGGCUCCUGUCUCUCCACCGCUCUGGAACGUUGCAGUGCUGGGAGAAUGACUUUGUGUGGUGAGGCUGAUGGUAAAAAAAAACCUGGCAGGCAAGUUAAGACAAAGAAAAAUGUGAAAGAAAACAAAGCAGAAGGCUACAGGUCUCCCACUGACCCGCCUCAUGACUGGACCCACCUUUUUGGAUCCUCUGUGGAGUGACCCAGGCCCCUUCAGAGACCAGCAUAAAACAAAAGGGGACCACAUAGACAGGAUGAUCAGAUAAAGAGGCCGUGCAAUCUACUGUGGUCAGAG